rnacentral:lncRNA from 1 species
UGACUCUUGAAAUAAUUCCCAAACAAAGUAUAAAUUCGUUUUAUAAAUAAUCAAAUAUAAUUCUAGUAGAAGAAUGCAAAAUCUUAAAAUCAAAUAAAUCACAAUAGGAUGAAAACAAUUAUUUACACAAUAUUACUAUUGUUGCAUUCGUAAAUUGUAGUGAAUAUAAACAAGAUCAUUAAGCUGUUGAUGCUCGAGUCUAUUUCUCUUUUGUAAAUGAAUGUGUUCAAACAUACUCCAAUUUUUCUCGCAGUCUGAAGAACCACAUGUUUGACUUAAUACUCGAAUUGCAAGCGUUUGUAGGUUUGGUACACUACUACCAUAACACAUCCACCAUUCAUCUACAAAAAAAAAAUUUAAAUAAAAUAGAUGUACGUUAUAUAAACUAAAAUUUGAGUUAUAUAAUAUAACAAAGUACAUAACUUGAGGAUAAAAUUUUACCAGGAGCCAUUUUAUGGCAAUCAGCUACAGCAAAUAAACGUCCAAAAUCACCUUGUGCUUGCCUAAAUAGUCUCAUUUCACCCGUCAAUUUACUUCUUAAAUCGGGUUAACCAUAAUCAUAUCUCUCAAUUACAUCUAAAAGUCUUGAAAUAAUUUGUUUAUGAUUUCCCAUAUCAAGAUUAUUAUAUUGAAAAGAAAGGUUUAACCAAUAUCCAGCAACAUGAAGAUUCUUACGCAAUUGACUAUACCGUCGGUUCUGAAUAAUUUGCAAAUAAGGAGCAAUUAUAUUUUUCCUUCUUUGAAAUCUGCAUGAAUAGCUUCAUACAAGUAGCCCAUUGAAGGCUUUUCAUCACUAUCAACAAUGCGUAGAACACGAACGAGGGGCUCAGUAAGUUGCACAAUAGUAGCACACUAUUUUCAAAACACUGGAUCAAGUACAUCAUGAACAAAUCUUUUUCCUUUACUUUCUUUUGCAUAUGCUAAUAAUGUCCACUCUCUAAAUGUCACAAUUGCUCUUAAUGGAUCCUUUUGGACCAAAAUGUUUCGUAGAGCAAUAAAAUUAAUGGCAAAACGAGUGGGAAGCAAGUCGAAGUAUUUCUUUUUCUCCAAUAAACUUCUCCAUCAAAUGCAAUAGGUAGAAAAGAUUGUAUAUGUAUUUUGUGAUUUUCAAUGCCUAAGAUAGACAUUACUGACUUUAUCAAGCUUACCAAUAUCAUGAAACAUUAGAUUAAUGCAAUGGAUUGCACAUGGAGACAAAACUUCUUGUUCCAAUAACCUCCCAACGGCAACAUAAUUUGCAGCAUUGUCCUUCACCAUCUGGACCACAUAUUUUGAACCUACAAAUAACAUAACAUCUCGAGAUAAUUUGUAUAACAUGUCAACAAUUUUUGAUUCAUCUGAAGCAUCUACAAAUUUUAAGAAUACUGUUCCUUUUGGACAAUACACUUAAAAAUUAAUGAGAGCUCUUCUAAAUUGAUAUGUCCAACCGUCUGCCAUAAUUGUACAAUAUGUAGUCUUCCAUGUUGAACGAUAGCUUUCAACAUAAUUCUACACCUCCUUGAUAUUUUUAGCCAAUAAAUAACCAUGAAGACUAUGAAAGUUUGGACAUUUAUAGCCAAGGCCCAUGCUAGCUGUGGCAUCUAUACUUUGUUGAUAAUACACAGAAUUUACAGUAUUGAAAGGAAUAUAUGAAUCAAUCAUCGUCACCCAAAUCUCUAUGCAUUUGCUCUUCUUGUUCCCGAUAGUAAGAACUAUGUGGGUUACAGUCAUCAAGAAUUUCUUGAGUUUUACGCUUCUUUGCAGCAAAGAUAUCUAAGUUUUCUUUCAUUUUGAAUAUAACAUCAGGAGGUGCUUUACGACAUGAAUCAACAUCACUUUUUAUUCCUGUUGAGUGUUGUUUCACUCGGUUGAUACCACCUCCAGCGAAAGUCUUUCCACGAUAAAAGCAGACAAGUUUUUUUUUUUUUCUAAUAUUACUAGCUUCUAAUAUCUCUUUACAAUGACCCCAUGCAAUAUCUAUUUUUCCUCUAGCACAAUUCUUUAGUAGAGAUGAACGAUGCAGUGUAUUAUUAUCACCAGCAAACUGUACAAAGGAAAAAAACUGUACAUCAUGCUUCACCAUUGGAAAAAUAAUGAACAUAGGCAACUCAAACAAUUGAUUAUUAAUAUCAGGGAAAUGUACAUGAAGUUGAGGCUAUUUCAUAAGACUUGAUAUACCACAUCAAUUUCAUGAAGUUGAGGCUAUUUCAGGCCUAGAUUGCUAUAAGUGUUCAUCUUGGUCCAUAGAACUAAGGCAACACUGAAUUUAAUCCCUUAACAAGAAAGUAGCUUCCUUCAUUCCCAAAAAAUAUAUAAAUGCAGAUCAAAGAAAUAUAUACUCUACCUUAAUGUGUACUUGUAUUAUGUAUGUUUAACACGCACAAAUACAUUACAAAUAAGCAAUUUACCUGGGGUUUCUUGUUAUCAAGCCUAACAAGUGAUUUCGAUUUUAUUGUCGUGUACAGACCUCCAAUCCAAUUAACCACAAAAAGAAAAGCCUAUUCCAUUCUCAUUGGGACCUCACCUUUAAGCCAAUCCAAUUACUGAAUUACAAUAUUAAUUCUUUUUAGUUUUUUAUAAUAGAUGCUGGCAUGCUGCAAUUACCCAUCGCCACAACCAAUGAACUAAACAAUAUAAUAAUUUUUUUAUAGUAAUCUAUUUGAAGUUUUGAACAAUAAAAACGGUUAAUAGAAGAAGAACACAUAUGUAUGAUUUAGAAAAUUUGCAAAGUAUAGAAUCAAUUUUGGUUGAGUUUUUGUAGCAAAAUACAUCUGACAGACUAACUUGCUCUUCCAAUUCCAUCUCUUAAAACUUGAACUUGGAUAUUUGGAUUUUUGGGAGUGGUUGAAUUGCAAGAGAUUGGAGACGUCGGCCGAGCUUAUUGAUUUUUCACGAAUGAAGAAUCCUUAAUUUCUAAGACUUUGAGAAGAAAUGGAAUUGGGGAAACCGGGAAAGUGUAAAGGCAGAGAAAUUGAGAAAAUGUGAGUUAUUAAAACCCGAUCGG